GAGGGUAUAGCUCAUUGGUAGAGUGCACGCUUAGCAUGCGCAAGGUCCUGGUUUAAUCCCCAGUACCUCCA
rnacentral:tRNA from 1 species